AUGCCACCGAAGAAGUACGUCGUCCCCCGCGCCGCGGCAACCGCGACCGCUUCCGUCGCCCAGCCGAAGCAGAGGAAGCCGAGGGUGCCGCCGGCCAAGCCACCGGGCAUGACAAACGCCGAGUGGAGGGCGGAAGUUCAUCGACGGGACGCUGUCACCGCCGACCGGCGGAACAGGGCAAUCACCAAGAAGGCCCGUGACAACGCGGCGCGUGCGGCUGCGGCUUCGGCGGACCAAGCCGAGGCCGAGGCGACUCGCGUGGGGAUGAUGAAUCCACCCGACAGCCACACCCAGUACGCACCCUGGGGACAGCAAGGCGUCGGCUCUCCGUCGCCGCAGCCAUGGGGAUGCACGCCCUCGCCGGGCUACGCCGACGGGGACGCGCACGGUGGGUUCAAUCCCAACGUCACCUUUCCCCAUGGACACCCGGCCCAGCGCACGCCCUCGCCCGCCUUCGCCGGCGUGCAGUACCCUCCAUACAACUACUCGUCGCCCGCCUACGCGUCCUCCCCGACGCCCCCUCUCCGCCGUGGCACGCUGCCCUUCUCGCACCUCGGCGACACCGACGAGACCGAGGCCGACAUGGACGACAUCAUCGCGUCAGGCUCGGCCGCGGCCGCCGCGUCUCCCGGGUUCGUCACCCCGGACGACACGGUGGAUCUCAGCGGCGGCAUGGACGGCGAGCUCGGCUACGUCUACGGCGAGGAGGAGCAGGAGGAGGAAGACGAAGAGGAGCAGGAGGAGGAGGAGGAGCCGGUGACUAUUCCGGCGAGGAGGCGCAAGAAGAAGAAGCGGGCGGCCAGGUCCGGCGAGCCGCGCAUCAAGUGGGCGUCCAAGGAGCAGGAAUGCCUCGCUGAAGCAUGGAAAGUCGUCUGCCUCGACCCGACCACCGGCACGAACCAGAGCAUCGAGACGUACUGGGAGCGCAUCAAGGCCGAGUUCAACGAGCGCAAGCUCGUCGACCCCUACUUUAAAGGCAUCUACAUGCAGCGCGGGGCGAGGCGAUGGCGAACCAUUGGGGGGCUCAUCCAGGGGGCGUGCAACAAAUGGCAUGGGAUCGUCGAGGAGGUCGCGGCUCGCCCGGAGAGCGGCGCCAGCGUUGAGGAUCAGCUGCUACGCAUGUUCGCCAUGUAUCGGCAGGGCAACAACGACGUCGUAUUCAAGUACCUCCACGUUUACAAGCGCAUUGACAAGUGCGAGAAGUGGGCGGAAGUCCGGCGCACCCUUGACAAGGCCAAGGAGACCUACAAGCCGGACGCGCCGACGUCGGGCGCGUCAGAAGGGCGGCCGGACGGCAACAAAGGUGCCAAGAACGGGAAACACGCCGACGCGGCCACCGCUCGAGUGCAGGAGUCCAUCGAGCAUUGCCUCGCCGACGCACAGGCUCGGGCCACCCUUCGUGAAGAGAAGACCGGGGCGCGGUGGUCGGCGUUGUUGUCGAGCAGCGCCGUCAAGAUCGACCUACUCCGGACCAACGUCGUCGCGAAGAAGAGAAACACUGACCUGGCUUUCCUGCUGGGCGGGGCGGACAUGCUCCAGAGCAACGACGAGGCGGUCAAGGCGUGGUACUUGGCGGAGCGUGGCCUCAUCCUGAACCAGCUUCCCUCGACGACGACGCCCACGCCCACGCUGCCGCCAAGCCCGAGCGAUGAUGCCGCCGAGACUCCCCGCAGCACAGAAGCCACGCCGACGCCGCCUAGCACAGAGACCCCGCCAAGCCCGCGCACGCCGACUCCGCCAACGCCGGAGGUCGACCUCGCCAUCUGA
rnacentral:rRNA from 1 species